GUAGGUGGCGAGCGUUGUCCGGAUUUACUGGGCGUAAAGAGCGCGCAGGCGGCUGGUCAAGUCCGAUGUGAAAGCUCCCGGCUUAACUGGGAAAUUGCAUCGGAAACUGAUCGGCUGGAAGGUGGGAGAGGGUAGCGGAAUUCCCGGUGUAGUGGUGAAAUGCGUAGAUAUCGGGAGGAACACCAGUGGCGAAAGCGGCUACCUGGCCCAUUCUUGACGCUGAGGCGCGAAAGCUAGGGGAGCAAACGGGAUUAGAUACCCCGGUAGUCCUAGCCGUAAACGAUGAACACUAGGCGUAGUCGGCAUCGACCCCGGCUGUGCCGUAGCCAACGCAUUAAGUGUUCCGCCUGGGGAGUACGGCCGCAAGGCUA
rnacentral:rRNA from 1 species